rnacentral:lncRNA from 1 species
AAAAAAUGAAACAAAUGUGCUUUGUGUACUUUCCUUGACUGAGGAGUAAUGUGGGUAAGAGAAAGGACUCUUUGCUUAUUUAUGGAUUUAGGACUCUGUGCUGAUUUAUGUAAGCACAGUUGCAUUUCUGUGUAAGCGGAAGACAGAUAAUUCUUUCUAUUAAAGGGGACGUUCAGUGUAGCUACUGCAGAGCACCGUCAGGACACAGGCCUCCCAACCAAUGCAGGCUCAGCCCUCCACAGCCCCUCAGGAGGGACUCAGUGCAUCUCAAGGGAGUUUUAUCCUUAAAAACUAGAAGCCAUAUGGACAUCUACUUUGGGAGGAUUUGGUGGGCCUCAGGGGCCUCUAGCAGCAGAAGGCCCUGGCUUCCUGAACGCAGACGGUGCGGGUCUCAUCACAGCAAACCCCCUUGUUUUUCUGUUCCUCUGCUGCCUUUCAGGGGACACUGUUUGGCUUUCACCCGGUCACAGGUGUACUAACACACAUGACUAACACAGGAUUUUUGUCUUAUGCACACAGAACUGCAUGGGAGAAACAAAACCACCAGCGAGCAGAGAGGCCGAGGCUUGGCUCUGCUGUGAGAGCGUCAAGGUCCCUGCAGCCCUGAGCUGCUGCAGAACCCACAGGAACCAACUUCCAGAGCUUGUUUCUGGGGUCCUGGUGCAGGGACCCCACCCACUGUGCUCAGAUGGAGCUUGAAGCUCUCAGACCUCAGGCUCCCGUGGCUGCUAUCACCAGGCUUCAUGGCCCAGUCCCCAAAGUGGGUGGACCCAAUUUUGAGGACUUGUGUUUCCCCUACUCCCUGCAGUUGACGCUGACAUCAGUGUCUGCUUGUGGUUUCAGCCAGUAUCUUG